rnacentral:rRNA from 1 species
GAUGAACGCUGGCGGCGUGCCUAAUACAUGCCAGUCGAGCGAACGGACGAGAAGCUUGCUGCUCUGAUGUUAGCGGCGGACGGGUGAGUAACACGUGGAUAACCUACCUAUAAGACUGGGAUAACUUCGGGAAACCGGAGCUAAUACCGGAUGAUAUUUUGAACCGCAUGGUUCAAAAGUGAAAGACGGUCUUGCUGUCACUUAUAGAUGGAUCCGCGCUGCAUUAGCUAGUUGGUAAGGUAACGGCUUACCAAGGCAACGAUGCAUAGCCGACCUGAGAGGGUGAUCGGCCACACUGGAACUGAGACACGGUCCAGACUCCUACGGGAGGCAGCAGUAGGGAAUCUUCCGCAAUGGGCGAAAGCCUGACGGAGCAACGCCGCGUGAGUGAUGAAGGUCUUCGGAUCGUAAAACUCUGUUAUUAGGGAAGAACAUAUGUGUAAGUAACUGUGCACAUCUUGACGGUACCUAAUCAGAAAGCCACGGCUAACUACGUG